UCAACGGGACAGGAAGAGCCACACUGAGCCAGGCCUGGUCCUGCAAGGUGGACAGGCCCUCACGGUGCUGCUGGGGGCUGAGCAGUGACUUGAGCUGAGUUGGUGUGAGGUGCUUCUACCCAGCAAAGAAAUGCCAGGAAUAAGGCCAUAACUCACCCAGACAGGAUCACUACCUUCGAGACCUUGCACAGACUUGAGGAGUAUGGACCUGGGAGUCCCAGCGCCAGCUGGGCUGGCCCUGCACCAUCAACUAGCUCCAUGCCAUCCACCCUGUCAGAUCUCUGCCCAAAUCCAGCCCUUGGCCUCCAGAUCCUGAAGCUGAAAGCUUUCAGCACCUGCUCUCCCUCUGCCUCUUCCAUCCCUGUGAACAGAUGGCCCAGCUCAGGCCACUAACCUGACUUCCUGACCUCUGGCUCUAGCUUCCAGGCUGGGAGUUGGAGUGGAGGUGGACUCAUUUUUGGAAUAACCACCCUCAGGAGUCAAAAAUACAGUUUUCCAGACUGGGACCCUGUUUGGGGAGGUUUCUGAGUCCCUUGAUGUAGGCAAGAGCCAGCUUCACACACAAACGCACACGCACACACACAUGCAUGCAUGCAUGCACACACCUGGUCAGCCCUCCCCCAACAUACCAUUCCAUGUAAAUCCUCACACAUACCAUACACAUAUGGUCAAAAUACUCCAUGUAUCCCACACUCUGUGCUCACACAUUGUGCCACAUGCACAUCCAUGACUCCACCUUGCCCGAUAGAGACCCACAGUACUCGCACACACACAAACACGCAUACACAGUUACACCCUCACAACCGCACUUGCACAUCCACAUCCAUUCGCAUGCUCACUCCUUCAUACUCACACAUAAAUAUGUGUGUACCUUCAGGCCUCAUGCUCAUGCACAUUUACACACAUGCUCACUCUUACUGCCUUACACGCACAGGCACACAUCAUACAUCCUUACCCAACAGGCGCUGUUCCAAGCACUUUAUGUGAUAAGCUCACCCCGAGUAACACAACCUAUGAGGGAGGUACUGUAUCACUUCCAUUAUAUAGAUGAGGGAACUGAAGCACAGAGAGGUUAAGUCACUUGUCUAACACCACACAGCUAUUAAUGGCAGAGCUGGAAUUCAAACCCAAACCACCAGGCUCCCCAAUCCAAGCUCUUAGCCACUACAUUCCAUGGUCUCUUUGGUGGCAGAAAUAAAGGUAGUUAUUACAAUAA